rnacentral:rRNA from 1 species
CAGUAUCCGCGGGAAUACAGAGGGUGCGAGCGUUAAUCGGAUUUACUGGGCGUAAAGCGUGCGUAGGCGGCUAAUUGAGUCGGAUGUGAAAUCCCCGAGCUUAACUUGGGAAUUGCAUUCGAUACUGGUUAGCUAGAGUGUGGGAGAGGAUGGUAGAAUUCCAGGUGUAGCGGUGAAAUGCGUAGAGAUCUGGAGGAAUACCGAUGGCGAAGGCAGCCAUCUGGCCUAACACUGACGCUGAGGUACGAAAGCAUGGGGAGCAAACAGGAUUAGAUACCCCGGUAGUCCCUGUCUCUUAUAC